UGGGGAAUUUUGCACAAUGGGGGAAACCCUGAUGCAGCGACGCCGCGUGAUUUAGAAGGCCUUCGGGUUGUAAAAAUCUUUUUUACGGGAUGAAAAUGACAGUACCGUAAGAAUAAGGUCCGGCUAAAUACGUGCCAGCAGCCGCGGUAAUACGUAUGGACCGAGCGUUGUCCGGAAUCAUUGGGCGUAAAGGGUACGUAGGCGGCCUAGUAAGUUAGAAGUGAAAUAAUAUAGCUCAACUAUAUAAAGCUUUUAAAACUGCUAGGCUUGAGAGAUGGAAGGGAAAGUGGAAUUCCUAGUGUAGCGGUGAAAUGCGCAGAUAUUAGGAAGAAUACCGGUGGCGAAGGCGACUUUCUGGUCAUCAUCUGACGCUGAGGUACGAAAGCGUGGGUAGCAAAUAGG
rnacentral:rRNA from 1 species